rnacentral:rRNA from 1 species
AGAGUUUGAUCCUGGCUCAGGAUGAACGCUAGCGGCAGGCCUAAUACAUGCAAGUCGAGGGGCAGCACGGUAGCAAUACUGGUGGCGACCGGCGCACGGGUGCGUAACACGUAUACAAUCUGCCUUUAACAGGGGGAUAGCCCGGAGAAAUCCGGAUUAAUACCCCAUAACACAGAGAACGGCAUCGUUUUCUGUUAAAAGCUCCGGCGGUUAAAGAUGAGUAUGCGUCUGAUUAGCUAGUUGGUGAGGUAACGGCUCACCAAGGCGACGAUCAGUAGGGGAUCUGAGAGGAUUAACCCCCACACGGAUACUGAGACACGGAUCCGACUCCUACGGGAGGCAGCAGUAAGGAAUAUUGGACAAUGCCCGCAAGGGUGAUCCAGCCAUGCCGCGUGAGUGAUGAAGGCCUUCGGGUCGUAAAGCUCUUUUACCAGGGAUGAUAAUGACAGUACCUGGAGAAUAAGCUCCGGCUAACUCCGUGCCAGCAGCCGCGGUAAUACGAAGGGGGCUAGCGUUGCUCGGAAUUACUGGGCGUAAAGGGAGCGUAGGCGGAUAGUUUAGUCAGAGGUGAAAGCCCAGGGCUCAACCUUGGAAUUGCCUUUGAUACUGGCUAUCUUGAGUACGGAAGAGGUAUGUGGAACUCCGAGUGUAGAGGUGAAAUUCGUAGAUAUUCGGAAGAACACCAGUGGCGAAGGCGACAUACUGGUCCGUUACUGACGCUGAGGCUCGAAAGCGUGGGGAGCAAACAGGAUUAGAUACCCUGGUAGUCCACGCC